GGUCUUAUGGUCUAGUGGUAUGAUUCUCGCUUAGGGAAAUCACCUUACAGUGUUUUCAAGCUCCUGAGCACACUUGCGAGAGGCCCCGCGUUCGAAUCGCGGUAAGACCC